UGGGGAAUUUUGGACAAUGGGGGCAACCCUGAUCCAGCAAUGCCGCGUGAGUGAAGAAGGCCUUCGGGUUGUAAAGCUCUUUUGUCAGGGAAGAAACGGUAGUAGCGAAUAACUACUACUAAUGACGGUACCUGAAGAAUAAGCACCGGCUAACUACGUGCCAGCAGCCGCGGUAAUACGUAGGGUGCAAGCGUUAAUCGGAAUUACUGGGCGUAAAGCGUGCGCAGGCGGUUGUGUAAGUCAGAUGUGAAAUCCCCGGGCUCAACCUGGGAAUUGCAUUUGAGACUGCACGGCUAGAGUGUGUCAGAGGGGGGUAGAAUUCCACGUGUAGCAGUGAAAUGCGUAGAUAUGUGGAGGAAUACCGAUGGCGAAGGCAGCCCCCUGGGAUAACACUGACGCUCAUGCACGAAGGCGUGGGGAGCAAACAGGAUUAGAUACCCAAGUAGUCCCUGAGCGGGCUGGCAAGGCGCAU
rnacentral:rRNA from 1 species